CAGACCCGAAACCAAGUGACCUACCCAUGACCAGGUUGAAGGCGCGGUAAAACGCGCUGGAGGACCGAACCCACGUAAGUUGAAAAUUGCGGGGAUGAGUUGUGGGUAGCGGUGAAAUUCCAAACGAACUUGGAGAUAGCUGGUUCUCUCCGAAAUAGCUUUAGGGCUAGCCUCGCAAAGAGGAUGCUGGAGGUAGAGCUCUGUUUGGACUAGGGGCCCGUCAAGGGUUACUGAAUUCAGAUAAACUGCGAAUUCCAGACAUUUAUGUGCGGGAGUCAGACUGCGAGUGAUAAGAUCCGUAGUCGAAAGGGAAACAGCCCAGAUCACCAGUUAAGGUCCCAAAAUUCAUGCUAAGUGGAAAAGGAUGUGGAGUUGCGCAGACAACUAGGACGUUGGCUCAGAAGCAGCCAUCAUUCAAAGAGUGCGUAAUAGCUCACUAGUCGAGUGACGCCGCGCCGAAAAUUUACCGGGGCUAAGCAUGAUACCGAAACUGUGGAUGUGCAUUUAUGCACGUGGUAGGAGAGCGUUCUAGCGGCGGUGAAGCAUGACCGAGAGGACAUGUGGAGCUUCUAGAAGUGAGAAUGCCGGUAUGAGUAACGAAAGACAGGUGAGAAUCCUGUCCGCCGCAAGACUAAGGUUUCCUGGGGCAGGCUCGUCCGCCCAGGGUAAGUCGGGACCUAAGGCGAGGCCGAGAGGCGUAGUCGAUGGACAACAGGUUGAAAUUCCUGUACUGCACCGAAUCGUUAUGAGCGAUGGAGGGACGCAGGAGGCUAGCAGCGCGUGGUGCUGGAUACCACGUUCAAGCGUCAAGUCUGAGAGCGAGUCAAAUGCUUGCUCUCAUAAGGACAAGGCGUGAUGAGGAGCGAAAUUAAAGUAGCGAAGGCUGCGACGUCACACUGCCGAGAAAAGCUUCUAGCCAGAGACGGUGCACCCGUACCGCAAACCGACACAGGUAGUCGAGGAGAGUAUCCUCAGGUGAGCGAGAGAACUCUCGUUAAGGAACUCGGCAAAAUGGCCCCGUAACUUCGGGAGAAGGGGCGCUGGUCGCAAGAUCAGCCGCAGUGAAAAGGCCCAAGCAACUGUUUAUCAAAAACACAGGCAUCUGCAAAAUCGUAAGAUGAAGUAUAGGUGCUGACACCUGCCCGGUGCUGGAAGGUUAAGAGGAGAGCUUAGCGCAAGCGAAGGUUUGAAUUGAAGCCCCAGUAAACGGCGGCCGUAACUAUAACGGUCCUAAGGUAGCGAAAUUCCUUGUCGGGUAAGUUCCGACCUGCACGAAAGGUGUAAUGAUUUGGGCACUGUCUCAACGAGAGACUCGGUGAAAUUAUAAUACCCGUGAAGAUGCGGGUUACCCGCGACAGGACGGAAAGACCCCAUGGAGCUUUACUGCAGUUUAAUAUUGGGUAUCUGUCAAGCAUGUACAGGAUAGGUAGGAGCCGGAGAAGAUAGGACGCCAGUCUUAUCUGAGGCGCUGUUGGGAUACUACCCUUGCUUGACGGAUGCUCUAACUCAGGCCUGUGAUCCAGGCCGAGGACAGUGUUUGACGGGCAGUUUGACUGGGGCGGUCGCCUCCUAAAGUGUAACGGAGGCGCCCAAAGGUUCCCUCAGAAUGGUUGGAAAUCAUUCGCAGAGUGUAAAGGUAAAAGGGAGCUUGACUGCGAGAGAGACAACUCGAGCAGGUACGAAAGUAGGGCUUAGUGAUCUGGUGGUACCGCAUGGAAGGGCCAUCACUCAACGGAUAAAAGCUACCCUGGGGAUAACAGGCUUAUCUCCCCCAAGAGUUCACAUCGACGGGGAGGUUUGGCACCUCGAUGUCGGCUCGUCGCAUCCUGGGGCUGAAGUCGGUCCCAAGGGUUGGGCUGUUCGCCCAUUAAAGCGGCACGCGAGCUGGGUUCAGAACGUCGUGAGACAGUUCGGUCCCUAUCCGUCGUGGGCGUAGGAAAUUUGAGAGGAGCUGUCCUUAGUACGAGAGGACCGGGAUGGACGCACCGCUGGUGUACCAGUUGUCUUGCCAAAGGCAUCGCUGGGUAGCUAUGUGCGGACGGGAUAAGCGCUGAAAGCAUCUAAGUGCGAAGCCCCCCUCAAGAUGAGAUUUCCCAUUUCUUCAAGAAAGUAAGACACCUCAGAGACGAUGAGGUAGAUAGGCCGGGAGUGGAAGAGCCGUGAGGCUUGGAGCGGACCGGUACUAAUCAGUCGAGGACUUGACCAAAA
rnacentral:rRNA from 1 species